rnacentral:rRNA from 1 species
GUUUAGGGGUAAACYUGAGAAACCCGAAAAGUCGAAGAGAGAAACUCAUCGCGUAUAUCGUUGUUAGCGUGAUAUGUGUAUGUGUGACGAAAAACAAUGUUUUCCAAUAAACAUUAAUGUUUUUUGCGCCUCUCGUUUCACGACCUGACACCGAACGUGAGCACUUUUCUCUUGGUAGGACGUCGCGAUCCGUUGAGUCGUAGGUCUACGGCGUACGGUGUAGCUCGUCGAUACGUAUAAACUCUAUUAUACGAUUUUAUUAACGAACCCGUGCGAUCUGACCUACUAGCUCGACGGUAUAUAAAUGGUUUAAGGCCGCUAAAUUAAAUCUAGCGUUAGUGCGGUUGCAAGCGUUCCAGUUGCGUUUCGAUAUGUAUCAUACCUGUAUGAUACGUAUCCUAUGGUAAUCGGUUUUUAUAUCGAUUCCAGUCCUCUGGUAUACUGUUGGCAGCCUUAUCUCUAACAGACCUUCUACCGAUCGGCGACGCUAUAGCUUUGGGUAAUUUCAGGACCCGUCUUGAAACACGGACCAAGGAGUCUAGCAUGUACGCAAGUCAUUGGGAUAUAUACUAAACCUAAAGGCGCAAUGAAAGUAAAAGUUUGUCUCGCACGAACUUAGGGAAGAUGAACGGUAUUCACAUAUAUUUAUGUAUGUAUUUAUAUACAUAUAUUUGUGCAUGUGUUGAACGAGUCGUUUCGCAUUCCCGGGGCGUUUCGUUCUCAUCGCGAGAAGAGGCGCACCAUGAGCGUACACGCUGGGACCCGAAAGAUGGUGAACUAUGCCUGGUCAGGACGAAGUCAGGGGAAACCCUGAUGGAGGUCCGUAGCGAUUCUGACGUGCAAAUCGAUCGUCGGAACUGGGUAUAGG